rnacentral:lncRNA from 1 species
UUGACGGUCUACACCUUUAAGACGUCGAAACUGUGCGUACUGGGAGUGGGCAUAUGUUCAACUGUAAAAUCACAACAACACAUCGCAAUUGGGGGGUAUGUGAAGAGGACUCUCUUCAGUGACCGCUAGUUAUAGAAAAGGUUUGAAAUAAUGUACACCAAUAUUUUACCUGAUUAACUGAAAAGUGAAUCAUACUGAAAGAAUAUUGAUGGGGAAAUGCAUUUGGGAUAAGUUUUGCGCAAUGGUCGAGCAAGCGUCUUGAUCUGCAGACGUCAACAAAUUUAGUGUGACAGUUUCACGAGCUGAUAUUUUUCGUUUUGAUAUGCCUCUAGAAUUUUGUAAUUUAAUAGUCUGACAUUUAUGGCAGAAAUGUGUUGUGGAUCAGCAGGGAUACUGUGCCGGCAAAAUGUGAAAUAUGUAUUCAGUUGAUUUUUAUGAGUUUUGUUAUGUACCACAUUCUCCAUUUUAACUACGUCUUUAGCCAAGAACAACGACAUUUAUCUCAUCAACACUAAAAUAUCUGCCGGUAUCCUGCAUGCUGUACUGUUGUGGAAGCAAGGACAAGGAGAAGCAGCGCUCGGACGCUGCUGAGGUGUCGAGAAUUCUAGAGACAGAGAAAAACCGAAAGAACCGUGAAAGCUCACCACAACCACUGGAAAUGUACGGAAUAGCGGGAAUACCCGAGUUUCUACCCCCCUCUGGUGUACUCCAGCCCAGCUCAGUAAUCCCACUCGAGUCUGGUGAGGUGCCUGGUUUGGGGAGUCGAUUCAACAGGGGUGUGCUGAGCUUUGACUCCCCCCAGCGGAGACGAGGCCAACGGGCCCCGAAGCUAGGGCAAAUAGGACGUUCGAAGAGAGUGGUGAUAGAGGAUGAGGACUUGGAUGACGUCAUGAACAACAAUGGCCUCCCCAUAUCAAUCAAUAUCUCUCCUGUUGCCUAA